CGAACGCUGGCGGCGUGCUUAACACAUGCAAGUCGAACGGAAAGGCCCUGCUUGCAGGGUACUCGAGUGGCGCACGGGUGCGUAACACGUGGGUGAUCUGCCCUGCACUUCGGGAUAAGCCUGGGAAACUGGGUCUAAUACCGGAUAGGAGCCAUUUUUAGUGUGAUGGUUGGAAAGUUUUUUCGGUGUAGGAUGAGCUCGCGGCCUAUCAGCUUGUUGGUGGGGUAAUGGCCUACCAAGGCGGCGACGGGUAGCCGGCCUGAGAGGGUGGACGGCCACAUUGGGACUGAGAUACGGCCCAGACUCCUACGGGAGGCAGCAGUGGGGAAUAUUGCACAAUGGGCGCAAGCCUGAUGCAGCGACGCCGCGUGGGGGAUGACGGCCUUCGGGUUGUAAACUCCUUUCGCUAGGGACGAAGCUUUUGUGACGGUACCUAGAUAAGAAGCACCGGCUAACUACGUG
rnacentral:rRNA from 1 species